rnacentral:sRNA from 1 species
UCCAUUCGAACCACAUGUCCUGCCCAUCG